AUGUACUCCCUGGUUACCCAAUAUAAACAGCUUCAACUGCCGUCGUUCGUUUACGACGUUUGUACUGAGAAGGAGCAAACAUGUCAGCAACUGGAAAGAAAGAUGAAAAAGCGAAUGGGGCUCAACCCCUCAAGAUGCUGCAGACAAAUCUUGUGAAAAUGGAUGGAAUGUUUUCUUGGAAGAAGAAGCAAAAUCCCGAGGGAUAUCAUUAGAGGCAAUAAGUAAGGGAUCUAAAAAACAAGAGAUUACCACAGAGACAGAAUUCACUGUUCCAUCUUCACCUCCCAUUCCUCUGACUAGUUCAG